rnacentral:lncRNA from 1 species
UUAAAUAAAUGCAGUUUCCUUCCAUGGAUUUUAAAAGGUUGGCAGGUAGAAACCACUAAAUAGCAAGGAAGUUCUAAUUAAUGCCUCAAAAUAGUAGCUGGUGUGUUUAGUGAUGUGAAUCGGGCUCAGCGAGCUUCAGCAGUAGGUAUCCCGUAUUCGUCUUAAUAGACAUACAUGUUUUCUUUGACAUGCCUCAAAAAUAUU